rnacentral:rRNA from 1 species
UACGUAGGGGGCAAGCGUUGUCCGGAUUUACUGGGCGUAAAGAGCGCGUAGGCGGCGAGAGAAGUCCGGUGGGAAAGCCCUCGGCUCAACCCGAGGAAGGACGCUGGAAACUCUCUUGCUUGAGGACGGCAGAGGAAAGUGGAAUUCCGUGGUGUAGCGGUGAAAUGCGUAGAUAUCAGGAGGAACACCGGUGGCGAAGGCGGCCCUCUGGACGGAUACUGACGCUGGAGGCGACGAAAGCGUGGGGAUCAAACAGG